rnacentral:rRNA from 1 species
UACGUAGGCAGCGAGCGUUGUUCGGAAUUACUGGGCAUAAAGAGUGUGUAGGCGGUGCUCUAAGUUCGGUGUGAAAUCUCCUGGCUUAACUGGGAGGGUGCGCCGGAAACUGGAGUGCUUGAGCGUGGGAGAGGAAGCGGAAGUUCCGGUGUAGCGGUGAAAUGCGUAGAGUAUCAGGAGGAACACCUGUGGUGUGAGACGCUUUCUGGACCAUAGCUGACGCUGAGACACGGAAAGCGUGGGGAGCAAACAGG